CCAAAAAAAUUCCUUUACUACUCCCAAUACCUCAACCCAGUGGAAAAAAAACCCAUUCGCCAUUUAAUGCAAGCAAUAGCCUGCACACAAGAGGGAGCAGCACAAUGUCCGUUGAACUCAAGCCAAAAAUGUGGCAAACAUUUUUAGGAGACGAAAACAAUCACGGGACAAUACUUUUGUACUCUAAUGGGUGUUUUUAGGCCACCAAAAAAUACUUUGAAGCAAGGGUGUCAAAUUCAGUUUUGUCACGGGCCAUAUUGUCGUCACUGUUUUGACAGUACAAAAUUGAAAAUUCACCAGCCAUGCUGGAAACAAUGCAAACAUAAGGAUCCAAAUCUUGCACACACGUUUUUGGGUGGGGAAGGUUCGAUCGGCUCUCUGUGAUGUGCUGGGAUCCCAAAAAGUCCGAUUUUCUACGUGGGACAUUCAUAAGAAGCUGUUGCAUAACGCAGACCGAUACCUUGUCAACGCCUUACAUAACAAGGACGUGGCCCGAAGACUGAAGCGCCGUCGUUGAACCCUUUCAGGCACCCUGUAACCUGAUCACAUGAUUAGCUGUCCACUGUCGUGACCCAGCUGUCCCUGAAAGGGUUAAACAGCGAUCGUCAAUCAUGGACCGUCUCGCAUAAAGAAUGAAAUUGAAGGGGUUCAUGUCUCUACAGGAUCUCAAGGAAGGUCCUCAAGGAGUAAUUACCUUCAACAUGUUUUUGUUUUUUUUAACACUUACUGACAUUCGACACCAGAAAGGUGAGUUGGUUUCGCAUUUUGUUUUUAUCGUGCAGUGGUUUUGCACGUGUUGAGCCAUUCAAAUGUGACUUCACUGUGAAAUUAAUGUGAAAUUAUAACAACAAUUGUCGGCUACAGACGUGACGCACACGCACGCCGGUUGCCGGGCGGAUUUCGAGGCCAGAAAAGGAGAAGACAACGGAAGCAUCUCAAUUGACAAAGAAGCCGUGAAAACAAAGAGCCUCCGUCUUACGACACCCACACGGGACGCGUUGAAUGAAGCGAGGACGCUGGCAGUUAUUUUCAGGUAUUGUGAGAGCGUGCAGGACACAGCUGCUACGUGGGAGGCGCCCGCCGCGUCCCAUCAUGCACUCUGGCUGCACUUUGACCUCUGCAACUCUUUGUUUUUCAAAAUAUCGCAUGCGUGCGUCUGCGCUAAACGUGAGCACGCAGCAAUUAAACGUGCGGCAUGUGGGUUUCAGAUUGGAAAUGAAUAUUUGAUGUACUUUUUCAAAUUUUGUGAUUGUUGUGAAAAUCUGACGUGCUUGAGAAAAAAAACAAACUGGGGGCUGAUUCUGAAUCAGCGCCAAGAAAAAAAACAUCUGGAAAAGUUUACUUGCAUCUCGAAUAACUGUAUUUAUGCCGAAGAAUAAAAAUUAGUUUUAAG